GUUUCAGAUUUUUUGUUUUUCAGACCCCGAAUUUCAAAAUGUUUGGAAGAAUAAGCAUUGCUGACCUGGAUGAAAUGAUGCACAAGAACAGUCCUUUGAAACCUUAUUUGCAUUGAAAAUACUUAUUGCAAAGGGAACUUCACCACUCUACCCAGAGGAGUGUAUUUUGCUUCAGGAGCUGCUUGUCUGUGUCUAAAUACCUUUGCCCUGUGCAAACGGUAAGAGAGAAGCAUUUCCCAGCACCCACGUCUGGAUGUCUGCAUGAGCUACCUGAUUACACUACAGUGUGAUACAAAACUGUGAAGGGUGGCUGAUACACCAGAGGGCUGUGCUGCCAUUCAGAAGGACCUGGACAGGCUCGAGAAAUGGGCAGAGAGGAACCUCAUGAAGGUCAACAAAGGCAAGUGCAGGGUCCUGCACCUGAGGGUGAAUAACCUCAUGCACCGACCUGCUGGAGUGCAGCUUUGCAGAGAAGGACCUGGGGGUGGACAACAAGUUGAUCAUGAGCCAGCAAUGUGCCCUAGUGGCACAGAAGGCCAGUGGUCCCUGGGUUGCAUGAGGAAGAGCAUUGCCAGCAGGUCGAGGGAGGUGGUCCUUCCCCUCUACUCAGCCCUGGUGAGGCCUCACCUAGAGUACUGGGUCCAUUUCUGGGCUCCAGAGUACAAGAAGGACAUGGAGCGAGUUGUAGCCGGUUAACCCUUGUUGCCCAUAGAGUAUCAUGGGGGUUAGGUCCUGCCAAUCAAACUGACCUUUCCAUGACCCCGAAUGAAGCGGCCUCAAGCAAUCGGAGGAGCCGUAGCACACGGUCGUAGCCGCUGCUGCCAACAUUCUAGAAAGAGACGCAGCUGUCCCCAAACAGGUCCCCACCAGGAGACAGUCUAAUUAAGGAUCUAAAAGUGACCAGUCAGAACACGUUAUGGAGGCAUGAGUAUGGCUACGUUCGCCUUUUGGCUAGCUAUAAAAGAACAUUAGUUUAGCUGGUGUGUGGGGAGGAGGAGUGAAUACUGGAGCCGACGGAAAGAAGCGCGAGCUGAGAAGACCCAUGCAGAAGAAAGCUCAGCAGCCUUUAUCACGGCUUCGUCGGAAGCCGCAGGACGGCAGACGAGAAGGCCUGGAGCGGCAGACUUCUCCCUUGGGCUCACCCCACCACCUCUCGGUUUGGGACGUUCAACCAGGAGCCACUGCAGGAUCCCGAAGGAAUCGAACGCCUCGCCAUUCUGGCCUGGAGCUCUGCCCACUUUGCGGAGCCGUAAGCACAUAGGUAGCAACACUGGGAGACGGCACACCCACAGGUGUGGCCUGAUUACUUACAGUCUCAGUACCGGGGGACGACGCACUGAUCCAUAUGGCCUUGCUAUCAUAUUUAUGGUCCUAGUACCAGGAGAGGCGUGACUACCCAUUGCGGCCUGUUCGGACAACUUCUUAUUCCCUCCCUUUUUUUUUUUUUUUGAGAUCUAUUGUUCGCGUACGUG